CUUGGAAACAUAACAUUUACACUGAAUGCCUCAGCACGGACCAUGUGGCUGGUGGGGCCUGGCCUGGCAGGGAAGCCCGGCAGGAGCCCACAGCCCAACCUGGACCCUGGCGGCCUGGCCCUGGAUGAGAACUGAGGAUGAGGUGCCCCCACCUCCCACGGUAGGCAGUGACCAGACAAAGACAGCAAAAGAAGGUGAACUCGCUGCACAUUUGCCCCAAGAUGAGACAACUGACAAUGUUCCUGAAUUUCUUAUAGAAGGUCUGGCUCUACUAAGGCUGCUCUGCUAGAGCAAGAGCGUUACAAGCUUCCCUGGCAUCAGAAGUGGGCAUGGAAUCUGGGUAGUUUCUGACCCUUAAAAGUCCCGGGGGAUGAGAAAUUGGAAGAGCACCUAGGUCCUGCUGAGAGGCCCCAAC